rnacentral:rRNA from 1 species
UGAGGAAUAUUGGUCAAUGGCCGGAAGGCUGAACCAGCCAAGCCGCGUGGAGGAAGAAGGCGCAGAGCGUCGCAGACUCCUUUUGUCGGGGGACAAACGGCCUCACGCGUGCGGCUCUGAGGGUACCCGAAGAAAAAGCAUCGGCUAACUCCGUGCCAGCAGCCGCGGUAAUACGGAGGAUGCGAGCGUUAUCCGGAUUCAUUGGGUUUAAAGGGUGCGUAGGCGGCGUCUUAAGCCGGCGGUGAAAUCGCGGGGCUCAACCCCGCCGAGCCGUCGGAACUGGGAUGCUCGAGUGUCGGCGAGGCAUGCGGAAUGCGCGGUGUAGCGGUGAAAUGCAUAGAUAUCGCGCAGAACCCCGAUUGCGAAGGCAGCGUGCCAGCCGCCCACUGACGCUGAGGCACGAAAGCGCGGGUAUCGAACAGGAUUAGAUACC